rnacentral:rRNA from 1 species
AACGCGAAGAACCUUACCAGGUCUUGACAUCCUAGAAACUUAGCAGAGAUGCCUUGGUGCCUUCGGGAAUCUAGUGACAGGUGCUGCAUGGUUGUCGUCAGCUCGUGCUGUGAGGUGUCGGGUUAAGUCCCAUAACGAGCGCAACCCUUAUCUUUAGUUGCCAGCGAGUAAUGUCGGGGACUUUAAAGAGACUGCCCGUGUAAACGGGAGGAAGGUGGGGAUGACGUCAAAUCAUCACGGCCCUUACGUCCAGGGCUACACACGUGCUACACUGGUGAGUACAGAUGGUUGCUGCUUGGUGACAAGUUUGCUAAUCUAUAAAACUCAUCUCAGUUCGGAUUGGAGUCUGAAACUCGACUCCAUGAAGUUGGAAUCGCUAGUAAUCGCAUAUCAGCCAUGAUGCGGUGAAUACGUUCCCGGGUCUUGUACACACCGAAU